rnacentral:rRNA from 1 species
GUCGAAAAUCUAAGGUUUCUUGAGGAAGGUUCGUCCGCUCAAGGUAAGCCGGGAGCUAAGGCGAGGCCGAGAGGCGUAGUCGAUGCACAUACGGUAAAGAUUCCGUAGCCACCGAAGUCGUUAAAUACAGGGACACAGGAACAUAGCCUAACCCCGCCGUUGGUUGAGUGGGGCGUAAGGGAGCGAAAAUUAGUAGCGAAGUAGGUGAUUGUACACUGGCGGGAAAAGCUGUAUGUAUUGAUAAGGUGCCCGUACCGCAAACCGACACAGGUAGAUGAGGAGAGAAUCCUAAGACCAGCGGGAGAAGUGUUGUUAAGGAACUCGGCAAAAUGACCCCGUAACUUCGGGAUAAGGGGAGCCUACGCGAGUAGGCCGCAGAGAAUAGUCUCAAGCGACUGUUUAGCAAAAACACAGGUCUAUGCUAAAUCGAAAGAUGAUGUAUAUGGGCUGACGCCUGCCCGGUGCUGGAAGGUUAAGGGGAAGUGUUAGAGCAAUCGAAGCACUGAACUUAAGCCCCAGUAAACGGCGGCCGUAACGAUAACGGUCCUAAGGUAGCGAAAUUCCUUGUCAGGUAAGUUCUGACCCGCACGAAUGGCGUAACGACUUGAGAGCUGUCUCAACAACAUACCCGGCGAAAUUGAAGUACUGGUAAAGAUGCCAGUUACCCGUGAUAAGACGGAAAGACCCCAUGGAGCUUUACUGUAACUUGAUAUUGAAUUUUUGUAUUACAUGUACAGGAUAGGUGGGAGACAGAGAACUAAUGCCGCCAGGUGUUAGGGAGUCGAUGUUGGGAUACCACUCUUGUAAUAUGAAGGUUCUAACCUGCACCCGUGAAUCCGGGUGGGGGACACUGUCAGGUGGACAGUUUGACUGGGGCGGUCGCCUCCUAAAAGGUAACGGAGGCGUUCAAAGGUUGGCUCAGCACGGACGGAAAUCGUGCAACGAGUGCAAACGCAUAAACCAGCCUAACUGCGAGACCGACAAGUCGAGCAGUAACGAAAGUUGGAGUUAGUGAUCCGGCGGUAUGAGAGUGGAAUUGCCGUCGCUCAACGGAUAAAAGCUACCCUGGGGAUAACAGGCUGAUCUCCCCCAAGAGUCCACAUCGACGGGGAGGUUUGGCACCUCGAUGUCGGCUCAUCGCAUCCUGGAGCUGUAGUCGGUUCCAAGGGUUGGGCUGUUCGCCCAUUAAAGCGGUACGCGAGCUGGGUUCAGAACGUCGCGAGACAGUUCGGUCCCUAUCUAUCACGGGCGUAGGAAAUUUGAGGAGAGCUGACCUUAGUACGAGAGGACCGGGUUGGACGUACCGCUGGUGCACCUGUUGUUCUGCCAAGGGCAUAGCAGGGUAGCUAAGUACGGACGGGAUAAACGCUGAAGGCAUCUAAGCGUGAAGCCCCCUUCGAGAUAAGAUUUCCCAUAGCGUAGGCUAGUAAGGACCCAUGAAGACUACAUGGUUGAUAGGCCGGAGGUGGAAGUGCAGUAAUGUAUGUAGCUGACCGGUACUAAUAGUCCGAGGGCUUGACCG